rnacentral:ncRNA from 6 species
UCCGUAGGGGAACCUGCGGAAGGAUCAUUA